rnacentral:rRNA from 1 species
AAACCAACCGGGAUUGCCUCAGUAACGGCGAGUGAAGCGGCAAAAGCUCAAAUUUGAAAUCUGGCACUUUCAGUGUCCGAGUUGUAAUUUGUAGAAGUAGUUUUGGGACUGGUCCUUAUCUAUGUUUCUUGGAACAGGACGUCAUAGAGGGUGAGAACCCCGUAUGAUGAGGCCCCCAGUCCUUUGUAAAACGCUUUCGAAGAGUCGAGUUGUUUGGGAAUGCAGCUCUAAGUGGGUGGUAAAUUCCAUCUAAAGCUAAAUAUUGGCGAGAGACCGAUAGCGAACAAGUACAGUGAUGGAAAGAUGAAAAGAACUUUGAAAAGAGAGUGAAAAAGUACGUGAAAUUGUUGAAAGGGAAGGGCAUUUGAUCAGACAUGGUGUUUUGCGCCCUUUGCUCCUUGUGGGCGGAGGAUACGCAGCUCACUGGGCCAACAUCAGUUUUGGGAGCAGGAUAAAUCUGUAGGAACGUAGCUUUCUUCGGGAAGUGUUAUAGCCUAUGGGAAUACUGCUACCUGGGA